AGCGGUCUUGGCAGCUUGGUGGUUGCAUAGCCCAACUCUCUCUCUCUCUCUCUCUCUCUCUCUCUCUCUCUCUCUCUCUCUCUCUCUCUCUCUCUCUCUCUUUCUUUCACUCCCAAACCACCCCCCAUCCCCCCCCUUAGACUAAGCUGGCGAUGGGAUUGUCACCGUUCUUGAGCAAGGUAGAUGCGGCGACAGAUCUUCAACGACGCACCGCUAUCGUACUCUGUUGAGCCCCAUUUCAACCUAUUUAAAGGAAGUUCUCCUACUCAAAUGGAACCCUGGGUCGGGUUAAAAACUGGAUAGCCGACCCAUAUUGCCACCUCCAUUCAAAGCAAGCACUAGUUUGGUCUCCCAUUUGAACAUGCACGACAAAGGAUCAAAUGGAACUUGAUCCAUCAAACAACCACAAGGGUAAACCAUCAUAAAAUAGUGGACAAGGAAGGGAUUUGACGAAGCAAGCGGCGUGAUAUACAGUCACGGAAGUAGCUCUGCUAUGUGCAGUUGCAGCAGAUGACGAAAUGGUUAAGCGAAGGAGCAACCACUUUACUUGGUCCAUCUUUUUUCUUCUUGUUUAGACGGGUUUGUCAUCUUCUUGCCUCGUGACGAUGGAUUGCGGCGCUUAGAAUAGAUACAGGUCCUGGGUCCGAUUCCCAGGGUAAGAAACAAAAGUGCCAUGUGAUGUCAAUAAUCAAGAAAUACUUUUGACAGAAGCUCUGUUGAUUUUACAUUCCAACUCCCUCUGAUGUGCUUUCUUUAUUGCAUAUUCUACUCCCAUGACAACCCAGACUAGUCCCCCACGCUACGGGCUAUAGCAAUCUUCAAUCUCUGGAUGUUGCCAGAAGAAGAGGAUUUGGAGUCCAACAUACUCUUUCGAUUGUUCCAUCCAUCUACCAUAUAACUCGUUCAGCUUCAUCAUCUUUGAUUAAGCUCUGCAGGUUCAUCUUCAUCAUCUUCAUUGGCACUCUAUAACUUAUUCGAGCAUUAUCAAUUAAGCUCUUCGAUUGAUCCAUCUGUCCACCAUAUAACCAUGCCACCGUACCAAAUGGAGAGAGGAAGGAAGAUUGAUAAGGCGGCUGUUCAAACGCUCCCUUGAAGUUGUCUAUGUGCACUCAUCUUUCAUAUGAUUCACAACCACUGUUGGAGCCUCAAAAAAUCGUGCCCCCUUGGUCACAGAUAUGGCCAGAGUAGAAGCAAAACGGUAUGAUAGGCAUAGCUAAACUUGGUUCGGAUUCUGUGGGGACUCUGGAAGUUGUGAUGGCCAGUGCAGAAACCGUGAAGGUGCCAGUCAUGGAACCUGUCAUGCUGAAUUCCCAGGAUUCACAUGCUUUAGUUACUUCCAACUGUUGACAAGAAUCGCCACUGUCACAGUCCCGAGCUUUUAAGCUCCCCAAUGAAUCAGAAAAUCUAAGGCAAACUACUAGAAUAAGUCCCUUGACUGUAACUCCUGGAUAAGCCAUUUGUGGCACUUGCAGUGAAGGAUGUGAUCAUAUAAUCGUGGGUCAUCACUGAUAUGAAAGCUGCAGUUGUAGUUGUGUAGUAAGUGGCAGUGCUUUGUGUUUUUGCUGGGCAAUGAUUCAUCAACAAUGGACA